CAGUGGGGCACAAUCCACAGAUCUACCAUCAUUAUGGAAAGAUGGUCCUGCUCUGUUGUGUUUUCAGGAAAAACGAAAGGGCUCCCAGGCCUGCUUGAUGCUUCCAGAUGCCUGGUGACAGGAAUCAAGAACCAGGGAAAGGCCUCAGGAUGCUGAGUUCAGAAAUUGUGAGGAUCGAGGGGUGAGAAAUCGAGAGCAGAUGAGGAAGCUGGUUCUCGUCAAGAUUAACUGACUUGCCCCAAAUUACACAACCUGUAAAUGCAUAAGGAGGAACCACAUCAAUUAUCUGCCUCUGAGGCACACAUUUAAAACAUUUCCUCUGCUGCUUUCAUUUCCUAAUGUCCUGGGGCCAACCUGAGGCUCAUCUGAGGGAGGUGUCUGAGCUUCAUGCAAGAGGCCUUGAUGUGUUCUAAUGGCUAAUGCAGAGUCUUUGCUCACAUGUCUACAUACUGAGUACCAUGCUGAAUGCCAGCUUAUUGUAAUCUCAGUGCACCAGAGAUCUAUGAGAAUUUGUGACACAGGAAUCUCUGGACUGGGGAAGCUGAGCAAGUUUUCUUUGAAGAGUGAAGGUGAGUUUAUCUGGAAGAAGAGUCAGGAGAAGAAUGGGGUAGAAUAUUGAAGACAGAAGAAACCAAACACGUAAAAACCCUGGAGCAGGCAGAAUGAAUGGAGCGGCUUUGAUCUUGGAAGCUGGUGAGCAGCAGUGAGGAGGGUCCCAAAGCUGUAAGAGAGAAAACUACUUGAGCAGAGGCCCCAGCUGGGCUGGUGGCCCCGAGGCUGACUGCGGUGUGUCCAAAGUCAUCUUCUUCCACAUACUUCAUCUUCCAGAAGAUACAAAGGAUGUGUCCUCACAUGACAAGGCCAGGUUGUGCUAUUAGAGAUUAGAGGAGUUAAUGUAGGUGCAGCUUCCUCACAGAAAAUGCAAGACACACAAGGGCUGCUUUCAGCAUUCUGCUUGAUCGUGCACAGCUAGACGCAGAGCACUCAGGAGCACAC
rnacentral:lncRNA from 1 species